UCCAGGAGUUAGCCUGAGACUGAAAAGAAGCUGGAGAGGUGAAAGGAGAAGGAAAACUCUGCAGUUCAGUGGUUGAAGUGCUAUCUAUAUCCACAACUCCCCCGGUGCUUCUUGUUGGUCCCCCCUAGACACCUUUUCACCCUGUCAAGGCCUGAUACACCUGCAGAGCAGCUCAGCUGCUGCUUUCCACCACCCUCAGCCCCACAAGUACUUUUUGUAAAGACAGGGAAGAUGCCAGGUGUCCUGACCCAUCACUAAGAAGCUCCCACAUCCAUGCAGGCUCCAUAUCCAAGGCAACGAGGUCUCACCCAGCUGAGCUGCAUUGCCCAUCCUCUCUACUCAGUUUAUUAAAUCCCUAAUUACCUGGGUUUUUAUCCCCUCCAGACAGGUAGAGGGCUUAUUUAGCUUGCCUAGCACUACCAUCCCCUUCUGCUUACCCUCAUCCACAGGAGUCAACUCAAAGGCCAGGGAGACCAGGUGAGAGAAGACUCACCUCACUGCAGGCACCCACCUCAGCUAUGGAGGGAGAGGACUGAUCCUCUGGAAAGCAAAGUUCCCCAACACUGGCGCUGCCACAAAAGAUGGUGUGGAGAGUUCCAUGCAGAAAAGAGAAUGGAGUAACUUUUAAGGGAGCUCAUCAGAGAGUUCUGCUGGAAGCAAGGACAGCAAUCAAUUCUUCUAUCAAUUCUUUCCUUCAAAAAAAAAGCUGUUCUGAGUCUUCUACAGGAGUGUUAACUGCAUUGCAGGAGUGAGUCAGUGCUUUAAGAUGAAUAAACACAGUAACAGCAAAAAGAGUCUCUGGUAUGCCACCACUGUGAUAUGCUGAACUUGAGAGCCAGUGGCAAGGUUGGCUCUCCUGAUUAGGAGCUGGCAGUGAUCAGACCAUUUACUGGACCUUAAGACCUCGUGGAGUGGUUUAUUCUUAUGCAGCCAUGUCUGAAAGGUACCAAGAGUACCUGAAAGCAGUUGUUCAUCUAUAACCCGAUAAUUAAACACCUGUAACAAAG